CGAAGUAACCAGAUUGAUAUACAAUUUACAUCUAUUGUCUCUAAAGUUCUCUUCUUUGAGCAAGUCCGUCUCCUUCAAAAGUCUCCGGAAUGGUAUAUAUAUAAGCUUCUGAGGAUAUGCUUGAAGAUGAUGUAGCUUCAAACAAAGCAAUAGGACCCUUUGGUUCGAACAUGUUGAGAACUUGUUCAGUUUAGGACAUGACUUUGUGUUUUGUUUAUGGUUUGGUUUGAUGGUUACAUCUUCUCUUCUAGAGUUCAUGCUUGUGAUGUGUUCACUUUGUAUGAUUUGGAUCUUUUAUGGGAAAGCAAUGGUAUUUUAUGAUUUUU